rnacentral:lncRNA from 1 species
ACCGCUGUCGAUGGAUUCUAGUACAUGCUCGUUCAAUGUUAUUUAAUAUUAAUCAGCUUGCUACUCUUCUGACAAGCACUUGUUGAUUCACUCCUUCCUAUUAACAUAUGAUCUGUAUCCCUGUAUUGAUGGGAAUCAAUCUGAACAGACAUUCUCCAGUCAUUUCUCCUAGCAGACACAUGCUAGUCCAAUAUGGGCACUACCAUGUGUAUGUUAUGGCUGUUUAUACCUGUAAAUGCAUAGCAGUAGGAAAUCACCUAUUAUAAAAAAGGAUAAAUGGUGGUAGAGAAUCACGUAUUGGCAAUUUCUAAUACCUGUGAUAGAAAAUUACCUCUAGCUAUAAUAACUACAUGUAGUGGUCUCAGUUCCACAUCGAGCUCAAAAUAAAGAGCCAAACAACACUAGCGGAGUAUACACUAACAAUGAGAGGAUAGAUGAAUGAGAAUGGAGUUGCAGAGAAACAUGUACACAUGGUGUAUUUGGAAUGGGAGGCCAAGGGAAAGGGGGCUCCAGAUACCCAAUGUUGGGGACAAACAAAGUAGAUGCCAGCACCUGAACAUGUCAUCAGAAAGCUCAUUGCUUGCAAGGAAUGAGGUGAUGCAUUUUGCUCCUAAACUGAAACCUUGUGUAUGCACCACUCCAUAUAGGGCCUUUUACGUCAAUGCCACCAUUCUCAUUGUGCGGCUCUAUGCAGCACUGUGUGGUUAUUGAUAAAACAAAAAGUUGCAAUGAUUUGUUGUCCACCACAUUUUCAAUACCUCCAUCCAAAUGCCUCACAGAUGCCGCAAGCCUUGUGGUCCCAUCUACAUAUCCUUCCACGCAGCAUAGCUCUACGGAUAUAUCUCUGACAUUUUCGUAGGGUGUAUGCAUCGUGUGUUGGGAAUGGGAGGCCAAAAUAAGGAAAGUGGACACGACAUGUUGAAUAUGUUUGAGAUAAUCCUGUUCGUCGGCCGUCACUAUAAUAAUCUGUUGGUUUUUUCCUUCAAUGUGUAAUAAUGUGUGAUGUGCACAUGUAAUCUUCUAGAUUUUGUGGUUCUGAGGUGAUCUGUUAGAUCCACUAUUAGCUUCUGGUAUGACUAGU